rnacentral:lncRNA from 1 species
CUGGUGGUGAUGAAAACUAGGGAGGUAUUGAUGGUGGUUGUUGCGGUGGGGGUGACUGCAGUGAUGGGGGUAUUGGUGGUAGAGGCUGCAAACUCAUCACCGCUGGCCAAAGAGGGAAGGGCCCUGGGGCAAGGGGAGUAGAGAGUUGGGGGAAGAAGGAAGAUAUUGAUCUAGAAUAGCUGGAAGGAGAAUCUAAACCAUAAUUUAAAAAGGCAAAGAAAGCUGUAGUCAAAAGUGGUUCAAGUUAGACCCGAAACAGGGACGCCAUUUGUAGGGCCCGAAGCUGUGGCGUUUACAAGCAUUUCAAGAUGAGAGUGAGAAACAAGUGGAAGCAAAGCCCAUAAGAUCAAGACUUGUGAACCUGAGAGAGAAGUCCUGCUCCAAUGAGCGCUUGCUAGGAUGGGUCUGACGGCCCCGAAGCCGAUGUUGAGGAAGGUAAAACCAAGAGGCCUCCAUGCCUCCAAUGGCCCAGAGGAGACUGGAAUAUCUAGAGCUGACUGGAUGGGGAAGGGCUGCUGGCCAGAACUGUGACCCUCUCUCAUCUCUUAACCUCUUUGUUUUCAACUCAGGGGGAAGGUGGAAUUACGGGAAUGAAGUCAGAAUCAGCAGUGACAACCCAGCAUGAUAAAUCUACAAUAUGAGAAACCCAGCGGGCUGUAGACACACAGAGGAAUGUCACUGUCAGAUAGUCCAUGAAGGCUUUCUGGAAGAAGUCAUGCCUGAGCCAAGACUGGAUGGGUGAGUAGGGGGUUGCUAGGCAAAGUGGGCUCAGGUAGGGGAGGAGUGUCCCAAGUGUAGGCAACAGCUUGUGUCAAGGUCUGGAAGCGUCACAGAGCAGAAGGUACUAAGGAAGUUCAGUGUGGUGGGAGCCAGAGUAGGAAAAGGGAGAAACAGGGGUCAGAUGAGUAUAUUAAUGGAAGGAUGGAUGAGUUUGUUGUGUCUACAAAGCCAUAGGGAGCCUCCUCCAUGGAGUGGGUACAGGGAUUGACACUGUCCCUCAGUUGUCCCUCUGGUCUAAUACCAUGUGCCUAACCUGGUACAAGCCUAUCAAAAGCAAGGACAAGGAUGCAUGGGUUGGUAGAGACACCUCCCAUCCACCACCUGCUGUCCCCUCCCUGGAGGAGAGAGAAUCUGUG